UUUUCAGACACUGAGGAGUCUUUCUUUUCAACGAGGAUGGGGAGUGGUGGUCUUGGGCAUCAAUGGGUAAUAAAUCCACGGCGUCACAAGGGAAACUCAAAGUUAUAGCCAGACUUAUAGUCACAGGGACAUCUGAAAAGAAUCCAGACGACAGAAAGCAUUAGUUCAGUUCAACUGAAAACACAACUUGAUCACAGGAGGGCUCAGAGUUACCAUAACUGGCUAACACUCAAGCGUCGGUAUUCUUCUUCUUCUUCUU